UUAGUAUCUUUUGUAUUGGCCUGUUCAAGAGUCAGGUUGUUUGGGAAUGCAGCCUAAAGCUGGAGGUAAAUCCCUCCUGAAGCUAAAUAAAGGCGAGAGACCGAUAGCGAACAAGUACCGUGAGGGAAAGAUGAAAAGAACUCUGAAGAGAGAGUUAAACAGUACGUGAAAUUGCUUAAAGGGAACCAUAUAAAGCUAGGAUGCGAUUGUUUUUUCUUCAGGUUGAGCUUUGGCUUGACUGUUUAGAAGGAUAAUCCGAGACAACAAGAAUUGGAGGAGGAGAAUAAGCCGUUGGGGAAGGUAGUCCUCAGGAUCCGGGAAACAUAUAGACCUGACGGUUUGCGCUCUUCUUUUUCGAUUGAGGCACGCUUUUUUAAAGGUUGUUGUCUGAAUGGCUUUAUAUGACCCGUCUUGAAACACGGGCCAAGGAGUCCACCUAAUGUGCGAGUAUUUGGGAGGCAAACCCAUAUGCGCAAUGAAAGUGACUUAAACCUAUGAGGGGGUCCCUUUGGGGCCUCUGCAAUAGGGUCGGGCAGCGACGUUUUAUGCCCAGAUAAAGCACAUUGGGUGGGACCCGAAAGAUGGUGAACUAUGCUUGGAUAGGGUGAAGCCAAAGGAGACUUUGGUGGAGGCUCGUAGCGGUUCUGACGUGCAAAUCGAUCGUCGAAUCUGAGCAUAGGGGCGAAAGACUAAUCGAACCAUCUGAUAGCUGGUUCCUGCCGAAGUUUCCCUCAGGAUAGCAGAAGUAAACGGCAGUUUUAUGAGGUAUAGCGAACGAUUGGAGGCCUUGGGGGCGCAAUACCCUUAACCUGCUCUCAAGCUACAAAUUGUAAGACGGCAGGCUUUCUUGAUUGAAGUCUGUCCAUUGAAUGCCUUACUUCUAGUGGGCCACUUUUGGUAAACAGAAUUGGCGAUGCGGGAUGAACCGAACGCAAGGUUAAGGCGCCGGAAUCCACGCUCACAGACACCACAGAAAGGUGUUGGUUCAUCUUGACAGCAGGACGGUGGCCAUGGAAGUCGGAACCCGCUAAGGAGUGUGUAGCAACUCACCUGCCGAAUGAACCGGCCCUGAAAAUGGAUGGCGCUCAAGCGUGGUGCCCAUACCUUGCCAUUGGAGUGUAUUGGAAGCUCCAAUGAGUAGGCAGGCGUGGAGGUUCUGUUGUAAAGCUUUGGGUGUGAACCUGAGUGGAACAGCCUCCAGUGCAGAUCUUGGUGGUAGUAGCAAAUAUUCAAGCGAGAACCUUGAAGACUGAAGUGGAGAAGGGUUCCUGGGGAACAGCAGUUGGCCCAGGGUGAGUCGAUCCUAAGAGAUAGGGAAGUUCCGUUUUACUCAAGCGUGUCAUUCUAUGACGCCUCCUAUCGAAAGGGAAUCAGGUCAAAAUUCCUGAACCAGAACAUGGAUGCGUUAGACGGCAACGUAAAUGAACUUGGAUACGUUGGGUCGGGUCCCGGAAAGAGUUUUCUUUUCUUUCUAACGUUCUGCUUGAUCGUGAACGCUGUUCAUCAGGAGCAACGAUUAAGCAUUCGGAAGAGCACAGUAUCUUUCUUGCUGUGUCCGGUGCAUUCGAAACAAUCCUUGAAAAUCCAAGGGAACUUUGAGCUUCUGCUCAGUUUCAUGUCUGGUCGUACCCAUAACCGCAGCAGGUCUCCUGGGUGAAAAGCCUCUAGUGGAUGGAAUAAGGUGGAUAAGGGAAGUCAGCAAACUAGAUCCGUAACUUCGGGAUAAGGAUUGGCUUCAAGGGUUGGGCUGGUUCUGUACUUGAGUCCUUGGGUUCGGGAUCGUGGCGCAAGCCAGACAGGCCGGCAAUUAACAACCAACUUGGAACUGGUACGGACAAGGGGAAUCCGACUGUCUAAUUAAAACAUAGCAUUGCGAUGGCCAGAAAGUGGUGUUGAUGCAAUGUGAUUUCUGCCCAGUGCUUUGAAUGUCAAAGUGAAGAAAUUCAACCAAGCGCGGGUGAACGGCGGGAGCAACUAGGGUCCCUUAAGGUCGCCAAUGCCCGUCAUCUAGCUAAUGACGCGGUCAAUGGAUUGAACGAGAUUCCCACUGUCCCUAUCCACCAUCCAGCGAAACCACAGCCAAGGGAAUGGUCUUGGCAUAUUCAGCAGGGAAAGAAGACCCUGUCGAGCUUGACUCUAGUUUGGCAUUGUGAAGAGACGCAGAGCGGCACAGAGAUGAGGGAGACUGGGAUUCGCGGUUACAGGUACUGCGUUUGCUUGGUCGCCAGUGAGAUACCUCAACGUCUAGUGUUCUCUUCACUUAGAUUAUCAAGUGGGGGUGUCUGGACUCACGUUCGGCAUUCUAGCAUUAAGCCUUCUUGGAAGGUCACCCAAGUAAUUGACAGUGUCAGAUGGGGAGUUUGGCUGGGGCGGCACAUCUGUUAAACAAUAUAGCAGAUGUCCUAAGGGGGGCUCAACGAGAUUAGAACUCUCGUGUAGAGCAAAAGGGCAAAAGCCUCCUUGAUUCGGAUUUUCAGCGUGAAUACGAACCCUGAAAGGGUGGCCUAUCGAUCCUUUAUGUCCUCAGGAUUUGAGGCUAGAGGUGCCGGAAAAGUUACCGCAGGGGCAACUGGCUUGUGGCAACUGAGCGUACCAGCGACGUUGCUUUUUUGAUUCUUCGAUGUUCGGCUCUUCCUAUCAUACUGAAGCAGAAUUCAGUAAGCGUUGGAUUGUUCACCCACUAACAGGGAACGUGAGCUGGGAUAAGACCGUCGUGAGACAGGUCAGUUUUACCCUACUGAAGACGAUAUGUUGUCGUAACAGUAAUUGAAGUUAGUACGAGAGGAACCCUUUAUUCAGAUAAUUGGUUUAUGCGGCUGGUUGAGAGGCCAAUGCCGCGAAGCUACCAUCUGCUGGAUAACAGCUGAACACCUCUAAGCUGGAAUCCAUGCUGGUUGAUGCGACAAUUCAGCCUUCUUUCUGGGAUAGAAAGUAUGAAUAAGGAGGAUGCAGCUGCAUACCUGAAAACUACAGUUUUGGGCGGUUGCCUCCCUUCAUGGAAGAAUGGGAGGA
rnacentral:rRNA from 1 species